UACGGAAGGCAGCAGUGGGGAAUAUUGCACAAUGGGCGAAAGCCUGAUGCAGCUAUGCCGCGUGUAUGAAGAAGGCCUUAGGGUUGUAAAGUACUUUCAUCGGGGAGGAAAAACAAAACUAAUAAUUUUAUUUCUUGACGUUACCCGAAAAAGAAGCACCGGCUAACUCCGUGCCAGCAGCCGCGGUAAUACGGAGGGUGCUAGCGUUAAUCAGAAUUACUGGGCGUAAAGAGCACGUAGGUGGGUUUUUUAAGUCAGAUGUGAAAUCCCUGGGCUUAACCUAGGAACUGCAUUUUGAAACUGAAAUACUAGAGUAUCGUAGAGGGAGGUAGAAUUCUAGGUGUAGCGGUGAAAUGCGUAGAUAUCUGGAGGAAUACCUGUGGCGAAAGCGGCCUCCUAAACGAAUACUGACACUGAGGUGCGAAAGCGUGGGGAGCAAACAGGGAUUAGAUACC
rnacentral:rRNA from 1 species